rnacentral:rRNA from 1 species
GAUGAACGCUGGCGGCGUGCCUAAUACAUGCCAGUCGAGCGAACAGACGAGGAGUUUGCUCCUUUGACGUUAGCGGCGGACGGGUGAGUAACACGUGGAUAACCUACCUAUAAGACUGGGAUAACUUCGGGAAACCGGAGCUAAUACCGGAUAACAUGUUGAACCGCAUGGUUCAACAGUGAAAGACGGUCUUGCUGUCACUUAUAGAUGGAUCCGCACCGCAUUAGCUAGUUGGUAAGGUAACGGCUUACCAAGGCAACGAUGCGUAGCCGACCUGAGAGGGUGAUCGGCCACACUGGAACUGAGACACGGUCCAGACUCCUACGGGAGGCAGCAGUAGGGAAUCUUCCGCAAUGGGCGAAAGCCUGACGGAGCAACGCCGCGUGAGUGAAGAAGGUCUUCGGAUCGUAAAACUCUGUUAUUAGGGAAGAACAAAUGUGUAAGUAACUAUGCACGUCUUGACGGUACCUAAUCAGAAAGCCACGGCUAACUACGUG